AGAACGAACGCUGGCGGCAUGCCUAACACAUGCAAGUCGGACGCUUUCGGGGGUUUCGGCCUCCGAGGGAGUGGCGGACGGGUGAGUAGCGUGUGGGAACCUGCCCCUUUGUGGGGGAUAACCGAGGGAAACUUCGGCUAAUACCGCAUGCGCCCGGGGGUAACUCCGGGGAAAGAUUUAUCGCAGAGGGAGGGGCCCGCGUCGGAUUAGGUAGUUGGUGGGGUAACGGCCUACCAAGCCGGUGAUCCGUAGCUGGUCUGAGAGGAUGAUCAGCCACACUGGGACUGAGACACGGCCCAGACUCCUACGGGAGGCAGCAGUGGGGAAUAUUGGACAAUGGGCGCAAGCCUGAUCCAGCAAUGCCGCGUGAGUGAUGAAGGCCUUAGGGUUGUAAAGCUCUUUCGGCGGGGACGAUGAUGACGGUACCCGCAGAAGAAGCCCCGGCUAACUCGCGCCAGCAGCCGC
rnacentral:rRNA from 1 species